AUUUCUUUAAAAUACAUCAGAUUCUUCUCCAUGGAGGGAAAACUGAUCGUGCAAAUUAGAGAUUUGGAAACCCCCGCAGGAAGAGUUUUUUAAAAGCUCUCUCUCUGCUUCCUGACCAUCAUGACAUGACCAGUCUCCUCUUCCUGCACAAGGUUCUGUUGCCAUGAUCUUCUGUCUUUCCCUGGGCUCAGAACCAGCAGAGCCCAUGAUCAUGGAUGGACUGGGAUCCCUGAAACAGUGAGCCUAAGUCCUUUCCCCAUACUUGUUUCUGCCAGACAGUUUUGUCACAGGGAAAAAUAAGUCACUAUGCUUCUGUUGUAACAGUCAAUAAACAGUUGCCUAAUGUAAGAUCACAUAGCUUUUUGUCCUCCUAAUGGCCUUACCGUGUUGCAUUUUAUGACGAGGAUAGUGAUCCAUGUUGAAUUACAUUUUUAGGGUCCGUG
rnacentral:lncRNA from 1 species